rnacentral:lncRNA from 1 species
UCACAUAUAUCACUAUAGAUUAAUUCUAGAGGUACCGUGUUCCUUUGAAUUGAAUGGAACGGUGUUUUAGCCAAUUUUGCUUCAACACAUAUUUUGAAUUUGUGAUUAGGAUCAAUUUCAAGCGCCGAAAUUCAACUUUGAUUCAUAAGUUUGCGCAAUGAAUUAUAAUUCGCAUGUCCUAAUCAAUUAUACCAUAAACAAGACUCAAGCAAGUAAACAUAAUUUGUUACUGUAUUCAAAAUGCCUUGUUUCGGUACAACAGUUAGAAUGUUCAUCUUGAACAUUGCGUCAUAUAUGUAUCAUUUUCCUAUAUACAUCUCUUAGACAACACAAAUUUAUCGGAUACAAAUACAAGUUUGAAACCAUUUUAACUAAGAAGAGAUCCAGACACAAGAUUCUUUCGAAUAUCCGGCACAUAUAGGACGUUGUUGAGGACUAGCUCUUUUCCAGAUGUCAUCUUUAAAGUGACUUUGCCUUGUCCUUCAAUCUUGGAACUUGAAGCAUUCUCCAUGAAUAGUUGCUCCCGUUUCAGUUCUUGAUAGUUGUAAAACAUUGCCCUAUCAGCACACACAUGACGGGUUACACCGAUAUCUACCCACCAUUCCCUUAUGUUUCCAACCAUGUUGCAUUCGGACACAAUUGCAGAUAGACUCAUCUCCUGCAUUCAUUUUGAAAGGUUGUCCUUCUCAAUCAUGUUGGCUUGAGCAGGUUUCCUAGGCUUUCGACAUUCAUUUGAACGAUGUCCGGGCUUUCCACAAUUAUAGCAUUUUCCUUCGAACCUUUUCGCCUUCUUGGAGUUAUCUCUACGCGGUGCAUCGUUUGAGAUUUUUCGUUUCUUGUUCAAAGGCCUUUCUUCUGUUUCAACAAAGUUUGCUUCAAGUUGGUCAAUAUUUCUCCUUUCAUUUUUCCUAUUGUCUUCUUCAAUUCUCAAGCGAACGAUCAAUUCUUCCAAAUUCAUCUCCUUAUAUUUGUGCUUGAGAUAGUUCUUGAAAUCUCUCCACAUAGGAGGGAGUUUCUCAAUGAUGGUAGCCACUUAAAAGGAUUCACUUAGUUCCAUCUUUUCG